rnacentral:lncRNA from 1 species
CUGUGAUGAGACAUCAAGAACCUGAACUUCAUUAGGUCCUGAAACCAGGUACCAAGGGCUUUGGCUGGGUUCAAGUCCCAGCUAUGUGGUUUCAAGUCCCAAGUAGGAUUUUGGCUGGGUUCGAGUCCCAGCACAUGUGUUCAAGUCCCAACCUGUGGUAAACAGUUUCAAUAACACGUAAUAAGAAAUAGUGCUUGUUUGCCUUUAGGACUUUCUAUUCUAUCUGUGAAGAAGCUGAGCAGACAAAAAGUUACAGUGUGGUGUAAUAUAGAGAAUUCACAGAGAAGGGGAGUCCCUCAGACAGACUCAGUGUAUCAGCAGAGGUUUUGCAGAGAUUCUGAUGCUUGUGUUAAUUUGGAAGUACUAACGGGAGUUGGUGAGACUAAGGAUGUGUAUAUAGAAGGUAUAAGAUGCUUCAGUAAGAGAGAGCAGUAAAUUCUAAGCAUCAGAGAUAAGAGAGCAAAUAUGUAAUAAACAGUUAACAUGGGUUCUAAAACAGGUAGAGACAAUAGCUGAAGCUGCAUGAUAAAGACCCUACCUAUCUUGGAAAAGUUUUUGGAAUUUAAAGGUAUUAGGGGCUGCUUAAGGAUUUUAAGUACAGUAUCAUUGUGUUACUUUACAUUUUUAAAUAUACCCUAGUCAGCUAACAAUUAUUCUUUCUUCCUCUGCAGAAUCUCUGCUUAAUCCUCCUUUGUUUUGUACUAUAGGACCUUAUCUCCCUGGCUGUGGAUUGUUGGCUAAACUUCAGAUACAGGCACUAAUCAGGGCUUCAGGCAGCCUGUCUGCAAAAGGGAGCAAAUACAGGGGCACUUUGUGAUGACCUCAGUGCCAUUGGCCCAGAGACCACCUGGAGCAAUGGACCAGCAGCCUGACCGGUCCACCCUGGCUUCAGAGCCCGCACAGGUACCCUUGAUGAUUUGGUCCCUGGACCAGGCAGAGCUGACAACACAGGUGUCCCCUGGUGUCCAAGUGGAAGACCGCACAUCUCCGAGGAGCUCAGUCCUCCACUGGCAGCUUGGCUUCUAGGGGAAUGCUCAGAAAGUCUCCACAUGUUGUUUCUUCCUCUAAAGGUACAGCUUCAGAUUUAAUUCAUUCUCCUCCUCUACUGAAACUCCCUUCACAUGAAAGGAAAUAUUAGAAGCCUGGAAAAUUGCUCCCCAGCCUCUGUAACUACACUUUUGUGAGUGAUCAGCUCUUUCUGUAGAAAUGUCUACCUAACACUACAGUUUACUCCUGAAUCCUAACCCAUGAAUAUCACAUCAUAUCAGAGAGGGGAAUAACAAAGCCAGUUAGUAAUCGUUGAAGUGGCAGAGAAAAGUGGAUAAGUCAAAGUGCUAAAGUUAGAUUCAGAUACAUUUGUUUUUCUUUUGCAUUUCUAAAAAUUAACAUGACCUCUGGACAUUAUGAACUCAUGAUUCUAAAGAAGAAAACGAAUGUUAAAAAGAAAAAUGAAGAAAAUACACUUUUUUGACAC